rnacentral:lncRNA from 1 species
AGACAGCUGUUUGAUCUCCACAAGCUGUUUACUGUCCCAGGCCUGCUGCCUGUCCCUCCCCCUGUCUCUCUGUCUCUCCCUCCCCCUGUCUCUGUCUCUCUGUCCCUCCCCCUGUCUCUGUCUCCUCUCUCCCUCCCCCUGUCUCUGUCUGUCUCUGUCUCCCUCUCUCCCUCCCCCUGUCUCUGUCUGUCUCUGUCUCCCUCUCUCCCUCCCCCUGUCCCUCUCUGUCUCCCUCUCUCCCUCCCCCUGUCUCUCUCUCUCUGUCUCUCCCUCCCCCUGUCUCUCUGUCUCCCUCUCUCCCUCCCCCUGUCUCUGUCUCCCUCUGUCCCCGUCUCCCUCUCUCCCUCCCCCUGUCUCCCUCUCUCCCUCCCCCUGUCUCCCUCUCUCCCUCCCCCUGUCUCUCUCUGUCUCUCCCUCCCCCUGUCUCUCUCUGUCUCUCCCUCCCCCUGUCUCUCUCUGUCUCUCCCCUCCCCCUGUCUCCCUCUCUCCCUCCCCCUGUCUCUGUCUCCCUCUCUCCCUCCCCCUGUCUCUGUCUCCCUCUCUCCCUCUCUCCCUCCCCCUGUCUCUCUGUCUCUCCCUCCCCCUGUCUCUCUCGCUCUCUAUCUCUCUCGCUCUCUAUCUCUCCCUCCCCCUGUCUCUCUCUCUCCCUCCCCCUGUCUCUCUCUGUCUCUCCCUCCCCCUGUCUCUCUGUCUCUCUCUGUCUCUCUCUGUCUCUCCCUCCCCCUGUCUCCCUCUCUCCCUCCCCCUGUCUCUGUCUCCCUCUCUCCCUCCCCCCUGUCUCUGUCUCCCUCUCUCCCUCUCUCCCUCCCCCUGUCUCUCUGUCUCUCCCUCCCCCUGUCUCUCUCGCUCUCUAUCUCUCUCGCUCUCUAUCUCUCCCUCCCCCUGUCUCUCUCUCCCUCCCCCUGUCUCUCUCUGUCUCUCCCUCCCCCUGUCUCUCUGUCUCUCUCUGUCUCUCCCUCCCCCUGUCUCUCUCUCCCUCCCCCUGUCUCUCUCUCCCUCCCCCCUGCCUCUCUCUCCCUCCCCCUGUCUCUCUCUGUCUCGCUCUCACUCUCGCUCUCUCUCUUCUCUCCCCCCCCCCCCCCCCCCCCCCCCCCCCCCCCCCCCCCCCCCCCUCCUAUCUCCCCCCCCCCCCCCCCUCCUAUCUCAUGUGGUGCUGUGGAUCUUGGUUACAUUCCAUUCAAUGCAAUUUCUCUGAUCCCCCAUGCUGUGAUGUGGACAAACUGCAAUGAAGUGAUUCUUUUUUUUUUUGUUGCACUCGUUUUAAAUAUGGGAACCCUCUCACUGGCAAAAAAAAAAAAGAUAAUUUAA